UAGAGUAGAGUUUCUUAAUCAGAUAGAAAUAAAUAUUAUUCACUUCCAUUCUUUUUAAAUAUGUUGUUUUCAUUCACUCUGGUGAUGCCCACUCCAUCUCAUUCCCCACAUAUUCUACAGGAUUUCCAGGAGGACGAGAUCCAACAGAUACUCUACCAUAUUCUUGUAUACAAAAUAUAGCAUUCCAUUUAAAAAAAUUACAUUGACCUCCAGAUCUCCUCUAUUACUCCACCCACAAAAAAACUAUUAUUACUACAUGAUGUAGCCCGCCAUACCAAACAACUUUUGCAGGAACAGAUUUUUAAUAACUACAACAUCUUCCGAGAUAUCCUGCUGUACUCACUUAAAAGAAACACCCUGUAGAUAUCAAGGGAGCGUAUGACAACGUAAAUUUUGGAAUUCUCUUAAGAAUUUUAAAAAACAAAGGCUGCCCGAAAAGAAUUCAAAACUGGAUCAAGGUAUGGUUACAAAAUAGAGCAGUUAAAAUAAAAUCCAUGCAAGGUAUCCAAAACGUAAUUCCAUGGAGAAUAGGCGUUCCACAGGGAUCCAUAAUUAGUCCAAUACUUUUCAAUCUAUAUAUAACAGGUAUAAACGAAGCAGUUAAAAUAGAAGAGGUGAAAUUUGUUAAAUAUGCCGACGAUAUAGCCAUUAUCACACAAGGGAAAAACAAUGAACAAACCACGAUAAGAAUAGAAGAAGGUAUAUCGCAGCUAGGUGACUUCCUGAAAGACAGAGAACUCGAACUGUCCAUAGAGAAGACGAAAACACUAUUCUUUGGACAACAAAAACCACAGUUAAAUAUCAUGAUUAAACUUCAACCUACAUUACCACGAACUUAUGACGAAAACAAAGAAAAGAUUAAGUAUUGUAAAUUAUCUAUGUCACGGGGAAAGAGGAAUUAAACAGAACCAGGCUCUGAUGAUGGCCAGAGCAUUGAUCACCUCGGUUAUGGAAUAUGGAGCAGCGAUCUACAUGAAUUCAAAUAAAUAAAUAGUUUUGGAAGAGGAACUCAGGAAAUUGGAAUCCGAAGCAAUAAGAACAGCAAUGGGUUACAGGAUGUUCACACCGCUGAACGUAAUGUACCCAGAGGCAGGAUGGAUAGGCCAUAAAGACAGACCGCUUUUCCUGGCAUGUAAAUAUUGGAUCGGACAGUUAGAAAAAGGUACGAAUCAAAAUUCAACUCAAAAGUUAUUCGAAGACAUAUAACAGAACAAAAUUCAUACAGGACGGAAUAAGAAAAGGCAAUGUGAACAUUACAAACAAUCUUUCGAAGGAAGCCUUCAAAAAGGUACACAAAUAUAAAAAUAUGAUAUUCGAAAGAGACCUGACAAGAGAGAGGAUCGACUAUUGGAAGUGGUUCUUCAACACAGAGCAACAACAUAAUGGAAAUAAAGGACUAAUCCUGGAUACAACAACAGGUCUCUACCUGUUAACCUGUAAUUGAAAAUAAAUACAUCCCGACAGAAAGAACGGCGGAUUACUUCAAAUAUAUUCAUGACAUAAAAAACGACGUAAUCGUAUAUUUCACAGAUGGACGCAAAAUAACGGAACGUAUUUCAAACGGCAUAAGAAUAAUAAUGAUGCACAACGAUUCGAUGGAAAUCGAUGGAAAGGCAAUAAGUACCACUUUCACGAUAUUCACGACUGAGCUGAUGGGUAUAAACAUACCAAUGAGAAAAUUCCUGAGCAAUGAACACAGUUCGAACUGUCUCAUCUUAACGGACUCAAUGUCUGCGAUAGAGGCACUAAAGAAUAUAGAAACCAAAUAUAACGGGUCAAGAGAUAAUCAUCGAAACCUGGAAGCUAGGGAAAGAAGAGAGACCAGGUAAAAUGGUAAUAGGAUGGAUUCCAGGUCAUAUAGGUAUAAACGGUAACGAACUGGCCGACCAGGAAGCCAAAAGGCAAACGAUUAAAAUCUCAGAUGUAAAUUAUAAAAUACCAGCAAAGGAAGUUGUCACAGAACUCAGGCAGAGUUUUUGGAAUAAAUUCAAAGAGAAAGUGGUGGACAUUGGAAGGGAAAAAGGAACUCUCUUCAUGAAUGAGAUUGGACUAGAACAAGGAAGAACAAGAUACAAGCCCUGGUUCCAGAAAUUUAAAAAUGAUCUGAGCAGAGAAACGAUAAGAACCAUCUCUAGAAUUAGGUGCAACCACUACAAUCUGAGGACGUCCUUGGCAAGGAAGUUCAUAAUUGACAAAUCUAUAUGCGACUGCGGACAGGCGGAAGAAGACAUAGAUUUCGUUUUGUUCGAGUGCGGACUAUACAAUUUAGAAAGAGAACUGAUAUGGGAGAAACUAGGGCCAGACAUUGACCAAGUAGAAAGAACGACGUUAGGGUUAAUCAGACUUAACAAACGUAGAAUUCUCAAAACGAUAGACAAAUUCCUGAAAACGAUAGGGUUAAAAAAGACCGAUUAAAACAAUAGGAUAGGUGUAAUAAUAAGCAAUGUACAAAUAGUGAUAUUAGCGAGUAACAAGGUAGAGUAGAAUAUACGAGACAGACCUACGAGACAGUAAGGGUGAGGCUAGAAAUAGAGAUACGAAAGACAAACAAUACGAAACAUGACAGUGACCUGUUAUAAAAUAAAUAGGUUUAGAAAGAAAAAAAAAGUGAAACAUUAUAUAUAUAUAUUAUCAAACUACAUAUAUUUGUAUAUAAUAUUCAUAUAUUCAAAGUAUAUUUUUUACAUUACCAUUUUAUUGUUAUUGGUACAAAAAUAUACCAAAAAGUAUUACAAAAUGUGAAACUUAGUACAUAAGGAUAGAUACAAUAUGUUACAAAGAGAAAAUUGAUAUAUAUUUUUUGAUAAAAAACUUUUAUAUAUACAAUGUCUUAUAUAUGAGUAUAAACAGAAUACAGUACAUAAAAGACUGAGAUCUUACGCAAGUUCGACUUACCAUAUUUAAUUACAACAACCCCAAACUUGUUCCUACUUAAAUUAAGAAGUGUUAAAUGUAAAAAGAAAUAAGAAAAAAUGACCUGUGAUCCCAAUAAUUAUAAGUAAAAAUCCGUAGAUAUUGAUAAGAUAAUCUGAACACAAAUGUAUUAAGAGCCAAUGUAAUAUGUAGCUGCGAGGUAAAGCAAAGAAUAUCAAUGUUAUUUAUUCGGGAGAAUGAAUGAUCUGUAAGAAAAGAAAAGAAAAAUGAGCAUAAAUUUCGAGCGAAGCAUCAGUGCAGUUUAAAGUCAAAUAUUCAGAGUUUGCUGAGAAAUGAGAGUAUAAUUUAAAAGGACAUUGUUUUUGAAUGGAAGGAUGAAAGAAAAAUAUUAAUGAAGAAUAUUGUUAGUUAAAGAAGACAAUAGUUUAGAGAGACAGGCAUAAUAAAUAAUUGUACGCAAAUGGUAUGAGUGAAUUCAAAAGACUGUCAGAAUGAAAGGGUGAGAGUAGAUUACAUAAAAUGUAAAAAUAAAGACUGUUAGAAUGGAAGAAUGAGAGUAGAUAAAGUAAAA